rnacentral:rRNA from 1 species
CUAUGGCUCAGGAUGAACGCUGGCGGCGUGCUUAACACAUGCAAGUCGAACGAAGCAACUAUCUUGCUUGCAAGAGAGUUGACUUAGUGGCGGACGGGUGAGUAACGCGUAGGUAACCUGCCUCAUACAGGGGGAUAACAGUUGGAAACGACUGCUAAGACCGCAUAACCCGCUAGUGUCGCAUGACACGGACGGAAAAUAUUUAUAGGUAUGAGAUGGGCCCGCGUCUGAUUAGCUAGUUGGUAAGGUAACGGCUUACCAAGGCGACGAUCAGUAGCCGACUUGAGAGAGUGAUCGGCCACAUUGGGACUGAGACACGGCCCAAACUCCUACGGGAGGCAGCAGUGGGGAAUAUUGGACAAUGGGGGAAACCCUGAUCCAGCGAACCGCCGCGUGAGUGAAGAAGUAUUUCGGUAUGUAAAGCUCUAUCAGCAGGGAAGAUAAUGACAGUACCUGACUAAGAAGCCCCGGCUAACUACGUGCCAGCAGCCGC